CCUAGAUGGGUGAAAACAGAGAUUACCUGUCCCAGAUUGGCAGUGUUCAUUCUUAAAUUUUCAGUGGCAUCCCUGAAUGGUUUCCAAUCGUCUCUACCUAGUGGAGAACCAAUAAUGAUGUACUGGUCUGAUUCCAGUACAUCGGUAAAAUCCUCUCCAGCAUAUCCACAGUAGAGUUCCACCAUGUACUGACAUCUUGUCAUAGACAGUGUGGGAGAAGACCUGCCUUCUCUUGUUCCUGUCUCAACAGUUGGCUAGCCAUCACACUGCGGUGGAAGUGCCCAGCAAUCCUCCUGCACCUUUCAAUCACACUGGAAACUCUGUUAUUGCCUUCUGGGAUUGUUGACUUGACUACUAGAUGGAUAAUGUGCGCUGCACAGCGCACACCAGCAAGGUUACCAUCACGCAGAGCUUUCACCAUAUUUGAAGCUCCAUCAGUAACCACAAACCCCACUUCU